rnacentral:rRNA from 1 species
CCUACGGGUGGCUGCAGUGAGGAAUAUUGGUCAAUGGACGAGCGUCUGAACCAUCCAAGUAGCUUGAAGGAUGACUGCCCUAUGGGUUGUAAACUUCUUUUAUAUGGGAAUAAAACGUUCCACGUGUGGGAUUUUGUAUGUCCCAUAUGAAUAAGGAUCGGCUAACGCCGUGCCAGCAGCCGCGGUAAUACGGAGGAUCCGAGCGUUAUCCGGAUUUAGUGGGUUUAAAGGGAGCGUAGGUGGAUUGUUAAGUAAGUUGUGAAAGUUUGCGGCUCAACCGUAAAAUUGCAGUUGAAACUGGCAGUCUUGAGUACAGUAGAGGUGGGCGGAAUUCGUGGUGUAGCGGUGAAAUGCUUAGAUAUCACGAAGAACUCCGAUUGCGAAGGCAGUUCACUGGACUGCAACUGACACUGAGGCUCGAAAGUGUGGGUAUCAAACAGGAUUAGAUACCCUUGUAGUC